CUUAGAGAAGUGUAUUUAUAGCGUGUAGUCGUAUAUUAAUAACUAGUGUUUCCGUGUAAGAUUGUACAACGCCUCGCCACUAGGUGUUUAAUACACUAUCGUAUAACACUAUUUAGAUUUAUGAUAUUCAUGUCUAUAUGCAUUCAUAUGCAUAAUGCAUUUCAUUCAGGUGCGAUAAUUAAUCACGUGAUGCGGAAGAUGACUCAAGUCGACCCCAAGCGCGGGCUACUCCGUAUGGAGAUGCUGAUGAACGAACCUGCCUGAUCAAGUGUUAGGACAAGGAUGAUCGUCAAGUGGAAGUCGUCUAACAAACACUAACAUAGUGUUACCCAGGCAAGCCCCGGUGCAUGCAACCCCUUCCUUGUGUUUUUAAAUUAUUUUUACACACUUAAGUCUAGUGAAUGUGCAUUAGGUUUAUAGGAGUUGCUUGGAAACCCUUGGAUGCAUUGCCUUCCUUGAAAUCCAUACCUUUAUAGAUACUUCUGGUGAAGUAUCAAAAUUAUGAUUUACAAAAAUGCUUAGCCCUGCUCAGAUCUUGUGGAUAGAGGUUGUCUUUUGCAUUAAGGCCUAGCUCAGGGGUUAUCCCGAGGAAAGAUGACUUCUACCUGCAAGAAUACUUUCAUUGAGAGUGUGGUGUGAUCUUACUGCAAAGUUCCCUUUGAUGCUCUUUUCAUCCUAAGGAACACAAACAAUCCUAAGGAUGGAAGUACUUAAAUCGGGACUCGGGCUAGGAACAGGUGAUGUUCUACCUAGGUUGAUUAAGGAUUGAAUGCGUAUGUAGGCGUGCUGAUCGAGGACCCUUUAACUGGUCACAUGCCUCGUCAUGGGUAAGCCUUGCCUCAGGCAGACUAAGGCCAGAAUAAGAUAACACGGAAUGGGCGUGGAGCGGUGGCGAGAGUAGCGUGUACCCUCCGUGGCAAGAGGCUGGACGGUGAUGUAUCUGUGCUCUCAGUUCGCGUGAACCUGAUUUGGUCUUAAGAACCCCAGUGGCGGGUUGACAUAUGCAAGGGUUAAGUGCUACAUAUGUCGUGUGAUUGGAGAUCCUCAGCUGAGUAUAAUCGAUUCGGAUCGCCGUACCUUCGCGGUUAUGAAGACUUGGUCACUUCCCUACAACCUAAGUCAGGAUGUGAACCUCAAGAAUAAAAAUGAUGUUGUAUUGAUGAGAUGGUGAAAUUAGACCAGAUGCAAACAGAGUCUAUUAAUAUUUAAUCUGGCGUUAAAACAUUGAAAGUAAGGAUUCACUUUAGUAAGCUAUUUCUGCAAAAGUAUCUAAGUUGAUUCUUGCUAAAGCCUCUCCUUGAUUCCCAAUUCCAGCAUACCCUUGAGAGUCUUUUCUUUAGUCGGGUAAGUCUUAUUGAGUAAUUCCAUACUCAGGGUUUAUUCCCUAUUGUUUUUCAGGUUAUAGUCUUGUGAUGUUGUUGAUGGUGUUAAGUGCCGGUGGGCUCGGCCUUCUUAUAUAAGUAUACCCCGUC
rnacentral:lncRNA from 1 species